rnacentral:tRNA from 1 species
CCCCUCGUAACUCAAUGGACAGAGUACUUCCGUCCUAAGGAAGGAAUGCAGGUUCGAUUCCUGCCGAGGGGA